UAUCCUGUUUUGUUUUGCCCUCUGCUGGUUGUUGUUGUUUUUUCUUUGUGUUGCAGUUUCUUGGAGGUGAUCGGUGGGCGGAGUCCCCCAGCCACGCACCUGCCACGCACCUGCCAGCCAUCACCAUCAGUGCGAUUUUUAGACGCAGGGGAGGCAGGAGGAAAUUGUCACUCGGCUGACAACUUUUAGUUUUAGUUGUCAUGAAGGUUUUUAGAGGCGUUUGAAGUGUUUUUUGUAGACAGUUCCACAAAGAUGGCUGCCACUUGUCACCUUUCCUACUCCCAUGUUGUGUUAGCACUAGCAUUAGCGUUAAUCCACAAAUAGGUAAUAUGAGAGGUCUUCCUUGUUUUGUUAGCGCUAGCAUCAGUGCUAAUCACCUCCUAACCACGUCAGGAAACCUCUCGUGCUGUGAUAGCGCUAGCGCCGAUGCUAAUCACUUUCUCGCCACGAUGGACGAUCUCUGUUAGCGAUAGCAUUAGCGCUAAAUUAGGGUUUGAACCGCUGCUAGAGCUGGCGCAACAUGAAAUACCGCUCAUGUUGGGUUAGCGCUAGCAACGGUGCUAACCACCACCUCCAUGUUGCAAUACGAGAAGUGCUCAAAGGAAUACCGGUAAUUCAGUUCCACUCGACUGUGUUGACCUUGACUGUCAGAUUGGUUUGCGUUAUCCGCUGAGAGAGUUAACGCUGCAGAUGAAAUUGGAGAUUUUUGCACGGUGGUUGGGAAUCAGAGUCCUCGAGCAUCAAAUUUUGCCAAAGGAAUUGGAACGAGCCUCACCAACAACAUGGUCCUUGGUGUGAACCUGCUGCUUUGACUUCAGGAAAAGAGAGCACAUUUGAGGCUGUACAAAUGCACAGAGGGACAUAUUUGUACGUACGAAGAGGUGGACUGGCGGAAAUACCUCGUUUGUGCACCACCACCAGCAGUAGGCCAAGCGAGCA